GUUUUAAUAAUUUAAUUAAAAUAUUGGUCUUGUAAAUCAAAUUUAAGUAUUCAACUUUUAAAACU
rnacentral:tRNA from 1 species